UACCCCUGGUCAUAGGCAAAGAAACACCCUGUUGGUUGUGGUAGUCUUAUAUUAGUCAGUGGCAGAGCAGAUGACAGUCUUUUGUCCAUCCUAGUAAGAUGCCUAGCUUAGUGGCCAAAGCUCUUUUACACCUAGGACACAUAA